rfam:Salmo salar isolate Sally breed double haploid chromosome ssa11, whole genome shotgun sequence.
AACUCUUAGUGGUGGAUCACUUGGCUUGUGCGUCGAUGAAGAACGCAGCUAGCUGCGAGAACUAAUGUGAUUUGCAGGACACAUUGAUCAUUGACACUUCGAACGCACGUUGCGGACUCUUGGGGCUACGCCUGUCUGAGGGUCG